CGGGGGGAGCAAGCGUUGUUCGGAUUUACUGGGCGUAAAGGGCGCGUAGGCGGCCAGCGCAAGUCAGUUGUGAAAUCUCCGGGCUUAACUCGGAAAGGUCAACUGAUACUGCGCGGCUAGAGUGCAGAAGGGGCAACUGGAAUUCUCGGUGUAGCGGUGAAAUGCGUAGAUAUCGAGAGGAACACCUGCGGCGAAGGCGGGUUGCUGGGCUGACACUGACGCUGAUGCGCGAAAGCCAGGGGAGCGAACGGGAUUAGAUACCCCGGUAGUCCUGGCCUUAAACGAUGGAUGCUUGGUGUCUGGAGUUUUAUAGUCUCCGGGUGCCGCAGCUAACGCGUUAAGCAUCCCGCCUGGGGAGUACGGUCGCAAGACUG
rnacentral:rRNA from 1 species